CCUACGGGCGGCUGCAGUGGGGAAUAUUGGACAAUGGGGGGAACCCUGAUCCAGCCAUGCCGCGUGCGUGAAGAAGGCCCUCGGGUUGUAAAGCACUUUCAGUGAGGAAGAACGCCUGGUGGUUAAUACCCAUCAGGAAAGACAUCACUCACAGAAGAAGCACCGGCUAACUCCGUGCCAGCAGCCGCGGUAAUACGGAGGGUGCGAGCGUUAAUCGGAAUUACUGGGCGUAAAGCGCGCGUAGGUGGCUUGAUAAGCCGGUUGUGAAAGCCCCGGGCUCAACCUGGGAACGGCAUCCGGAACUGUCAAGCUAGAGUGCAGGAGAGGAAGGUAGAAUUCCCGGUGUAGCGGUGAAAUGCGUAGAGAUCGGGAGGAAUACCAGUGGCGAAGGCGGCCUUCUGGACUGACACUGACACUGAGGUGCGAAAGCGUGGGUAGCAAACAGGAUUAGAUACCCUUGUAGUC
rnacentral:rRNA from 1 species